GACGAACGCUGGCGGCGUGCCUAAUACAUGCAAGUCGAGCGGAAGUUGGAGAGCUUGCUCUUCAACUUUAGCGGCGGACGGGUGAGUAACACGUGGGCAACCUGCCCUGCAGAUCGGGAUAACUCCGGGAAACCGGUGCUAAUACCGGAUAGUUUUCGCCACCUCCUGGUGGCGUACGGAAAGACGGUUUCGGCUGUCACUGCAGGAUGGGCCCGCGGCGCAUUAGCUAGUUGGUGGGGUAACGGCCCACCAAGGCGACGAUGCGUAGCCGACCUGAGAGGGUGAUCGGCCACACUGGGGCUGAGACACGGCCCAGACUCCUACGGGAGGCAGCAGUAGGGAAUCUUCCGCAAUGGACGAAAGUCUGAUGGAGCAACGCCGCGUGAGUGACGAAGGUUUUCGGAUCGUAAAACUCUGUUGUGAGGGAAGAACAAGUACCAAUUAACUACUGGUACCUUGACGGUACCUCACCAGAAAGCCACGGCUAACUACGUGCCAGCCGCCGCCGUAACAC
rnacentral:rRNA from 1 species